UACGGAGGAUGCAAGCGUUAUCCGGAAUGAUUGGGCGUAAAGCGUCCGCAGGUGGCAAUGUAAGUCUGCUGUCAAAGCGUCUGGCUCAACCAGAUAAAGGCAGUGGAAACUACAUAGCUAGAGUAAGGUAGGGGUAGAGGGAAUUCCUGGUGUAGCGGUGAAAUGCGUAGAGAUCAGGAAGAACACCGGUGGCGAAAGCGCUCUGCUGGACCUUAACUGACACUGAUGCGCGACAGCAUGGGGAGCAAACAGG
rnacentral:rRNA from 1 species